rnacentral:rRNA from 1 species
UUUGAUCUCAAAUCAGGUAGGACUACCCGCUGAACUUAAGCAUAUCAAUA